AACACAGCCUGUGGUUUUAUUUGUCUGACUUGAAGUCCUUUCAUGAAGGGGGAAAAGGCACCUAUCAGGUAGACAGUAACAGCAGGUAGACAGUAACAGCUCGGUAAAUAAUUAGAACACCUUUAUCAUUUAGAUUGCCCUGAAGGGGGAAAAGGCACCUAUCAGGUAGACAGUAACAGCAGGUAGACAGUAACAGCUCGGUAAAUAAUUAGAACACCUUUAUCAUUUAGAUUCAAACAUGCUUCUGCUCUCCUCCAUGAGCCCACUGAACUAAGACAUUUCCUAAUUUCUGGUAUCCCUAUGGAUUGAGUCUUGGUGUAAGAAGGAACCAAAUAGAAGCUAUUUUGAGCAAAACUUGCAUUUUGAAUAUGGGCCAAAUAAAGUUAAAGUUCCCAAGACCUCCCUAGGAAACUGAUCCUGCUUGGCAGACAGAGAUGUGUAUGUGGGUAGUAGCUAAAUCCUGCUUGGCAAGUUGAAACUGAGUGCUAGGCAGUUGCCCCGCCACAGUUCAAUAACCCAACCAGUGAGAACAGGAUGGGAAUAUUACACAGGGGAAAUAUUUCUUUAAAAAUUCCCUAUCCCUGAAUCUUGAUUGGUAGAAAACUGUAAGUGUAACUUGGCACAGAUACUUGUGGGUUUGAGACUUAAAAGUUUUGAACAUUCUGGCUCGAGGUCACCUCCUGAGUAAGUCCUGCAUCCCUGAUGUAUAAGUAGUGGCUUGAUUACAAGACAGUUUUGUUUUUUGUUUUGACUCGAGUGUUUGUGUUGGAUCUAAGUGUACCCCAUAACAUUUGGUGUGCUGGCUGGGAAUCCAAACACUCUACCCAAGUACCUGAUUGUAAUCAUCCGCAGCCAAGGGACUUCAUUUUUGAAGUCCAAGACCUAUGGAGAGAAAUGAGCCAAAUUUCAUCUGCUGGCAGUUCAUCCCUUGACUUAGUCUUCACUCAUUUCAAAGAUUAACUGGUGCUAAACCAAAUGCCAUCAACCACUGCAGCAAGACCUGGAGUAAUACAGUUGCAGAAUGUGAUGCUUGAGCUGGUGGGCAGCUUUCUCCAGUAGGGAGGAUGGCAGGCUAGUCUGGCUACAGAACUGCUUGGUGGGUGAAAACUGGACUAAGCUGGUAACAAGGCACUGCAACCUUGAAAUUACAGCUGGAAGAGAUAAGGAAAGUUUUAUCUGUCUGUUUUAAGUGUAGAAAUGUAUGUGGCCACUACAUGUCUGUUUCUAACCAGUCUUAAAUAUUUGAAUUUACUAUGUUCUGUGCCUUUGUUAGAUAAUAAUCAAUUAAUGGACAUGUUUAAAAAUCUGUAACAUCUGUAACAAAAAGUUAUCUUAAGAUUUUUAUAUAGGGGGUUGGAGAGAUGGCUCAGCAGUUAAGAGCAGCUGGUCUUUCAGAGGUCCUGAGUUCAAGUCAACAACAUGGUGGCAACUAUCUAUAAUGUUCUCUUCUGACAUGCAGGUGUACAUGCAUAUAGAGCAUUCAUAAACAUUAAAUAAAUAAAUCUUUCUUUUAAAAAGAUUUUUUAUAUAAUUCCUAUCCUAUCUUAAAAACCAGCUUUAUAAAAGGUAGGAUUUAAAACAAUAUUUGUUUAAUGAGGGAUUAAAGUUAAACCGCCACGUGUUCGUAUACAAGAAUGUAUCUUACUGGCAGCCAAACUUUGUAACAUAAGGGUAAUUCACUUGGUACUGAUUUUAGAGACACUAAAUUGUUUGCAUUGUUAAAACUAGGUUUUGCCUUCUUCAAAUUAUGGUUAUGCUCUAUGUCUUCACUCUUGAAGUUAAAAAAAAAAAGACUUUAAGGAACAGGGGAGAGGGGAUGCAGGAGGGAGGGUGAUACUGGGAAAAGAGGGAGGAGCUUAUGACUGAGAUAUAAAUUCAAUUAAUUAAUAAAACAGUACUUUAUUUUGAUAUUGUAAAAGCAUACAAUUGAUAUUAAUUAAUUUUGGUUUUUUAAGGCAUGAUUUCUGUGUAGCCAUGGCUGUCCUGGACGCUCUGAGGCCAGACUGGUUUAAAUUCACAGAGAUCUGCCCACCUCUGCCUCCCUGAGCACUGGGAUCACAGACUCUACCGUACCCUACCAAUUGAGAGAUUUUAAACUUUUUUAAUAAAGAUUUGUUUAUUUAUGAUGUAUAAAGUGUUCUGCCUGCAUGUAUGCCUACACACCAGAACUCAUUAUAGAUGGCUUGGGAACUGAACUCAGGACCUUUGAAAGAACAGCCAGUGCUCUUAACCUCUGUGUAGCCUUGCCUGUCCUGGACUCACUUUGUACACCAGGCUCACCUUGAACCUACUGCACUCUGCCUGCCACUAUGUCAACUGCCUGUGAGCCACCAUGCCUGGCUGAUUUUAAACUUCUUUAAAGAAAAUUUUGGGAGGUAUGGAGAUAUAGCUCAGAGGUUAAGAGCACUGGCUGUUCUUCCUAAGGUUCUGAGUUAACCACACGGUGGCUCACAACUAUCUAUAAUGAGAUCUGGUGCCCUCUUAUGGCCUGCUAGCACACAUGCAGGCAGAAUACUGUAUAUAAUCUUUUUAAAAAAAAGUGUUUUGGCCAGGCAUAGUAAUGCAUGCUUUUAAGCCUAGCACUCAGGAGGCAGAAGGAGGACCUCUGUGAGUUCAAGGCCAUAAUGGUACAAGGCCAGGGCUACACAGAGAGACCUUGUCACAAAAACCAAAACCAAAACAAAACAAAACAAAAAAAGAAGCAGAAGAAGAAAAAAAGAAAGGUUUGGGAGCUGGGGAUUUAGUUCAGUGGUAGAGCACUUUCCUAGCAAGUGCAAAACCUUGGGUCCAGUCCUCAGUUCUGGAAAAAAGUUUUGGAAUUUUACAGAAAAUUAAAAACUGGAUUUUUGAAUCCCUGAACACCAGAUCUCAUUAUAGAUGGUUGUGAGCUACAAUGUGGUUGCUGGGAAUUGAACUCAGGAUCUUUGGAAGAGCAGCCAAUGUUCUUAGUCUCUGAGCCAUCUCCUCAGCCCCCAAAACUAGAUAUUUUUAAGACAGCUUUUUAAAAUGUUUACAUUUAAAGGACUGGAGAGAUGGCUCACUGUUUAAGAGCAUUGGCUGCUUUUCCCUAGCACCCGUGUUCAAUUCCCAGCAACCAUAUGGCAGCUCACAACUGUCUGUGACUUCAGUUUCAAAGGAUCUGCAGACAAAAUGCCAAUGUAUGUAAAAUAAAGAUAAAUAAAUAAAAAUACUAAUGCUAAAAAUGUUUACAUAUAUAAGGCUAUUUUAAAGUUUAUCAGAUAUUUUAUUAUGUCUUUAUUAAUAUAUGAUCUUGAUAAAUAGGUAAAUAAAAGACUAAACAUUAGUGCCACAGCUAAACACCACAGACUAAAGAAUUCCUAUCUUAUGAUGAAGUAAGGCAAUGACCUUAAACAGUCUGACAAAGACUUUGGAACAAUUUCUCAACCUAUGGGUCUCAACCCUUUGAGGGUCAAAAGACAUUUUCACAGGGGUAGCCUGGAUUUGCCUGCAAGUCAGAUGUUUAUUUUAUGGUUGGGGUUACCACAACAUUAAAAAAAAAAACUAUAUUAAAUGGUUACAACAUUUAAAAAUUGAGAAUCUCUGGCUUAAAAAUAGUCCUUAUCGGGCUGGAGAGAUGGCUCAGAGGUUAAGAGCACUGGCUGCUCUUCCAAGGGUCCUGAGUUCAAUUCCCAGCAACCACAUGGUGGCUCACAACCAUCUAUAAUGAGAGCUGGUGCCCUCUGCUGAUAUGCAGGCAGAACACUGUAUAUGUAAUAAAUAAAUAAAAUAAAUCUUUAAAAAAAAAUAGUCCUUAUCUAAGGACUAUUCAGGCUAACAGAGACUGAUUUAAGAAUAUAUGUCUAACCUCCUUGUUUUUACUAGCAUUGUUAAGCUACAGAUAUUUUGGUAAACUAAGUUGUACAAGAAAACUGUUGUGUUCUAUAAUGACAUACCAGAUAAGUACAGCCUAAAUAAAUAAAUAAACCAUCUAAGUUCCCAGUCUCUUUAUAGACUACAUUUAUAAGUUAAAAAAUCUUUGUGGGGGGGGGGGGGUGUCUGUGCAGUCCUGGCUAUCUCAGGCUUGCUUUGUAGAUCAGGCUGGUUCAAACUCACAGAGAUCCACCUGCCCCUGACUCCCUGAAUGCUGGUAAUACAGGCAUACACUACCAUACCUGGCUAAAAAUCUUAUCUUGAUACUAAAACAGCUUCAAUUCAGAAAUUGUUAUUUUUAUUAUAAACUGUUAAAUAUGAAUAAACUGUGAUAUUGUCAGAACUGUAUCUGUAGUCAUGCUAAGUACUAAUGCAACUAAUUAUAGGAAUAAGCCUUAUUUGGCCUCCUGUUUUGUUUUCAAGGUACAGCCUAAAGCAAAUAAUUAAAUACAGACAAGGCUUGAUUGAUUCAGAUAUUCAUGAUAGAUACUGGAGAAUUGAUAGCCUCACUUUACCUAGACAAGAUGAAGUCAGUCCCUCCCAUCCCCCUCCUCCACACAAAUGUCUCUGCCGCUGUCCUGAAACCUCUGCCCCCAUCACCAACGAGAGAGAGACCACAGGAGCGUGGAGUGGCUGCCUAAGUAAUGAACUAUGGACUAGUCUCUGUCAUUUUAAUUAAUAUAUAGGCCAUUUAGAUUAUAAUUUAACCUUCUUGGGUCUCAGAUCACAUUGACAACUACGCUAACUAGCUUAGUCAGCAAGAGAACAACAGACAACUAGCUCCUUUCCCCAUGGUAAUCAACCACCUUGUUAGUUCAUUAGUUAAUUAAAAUUACUAGAUCUCUUGUUAAGAAAAGGAAGACAGGGGCUGGAGAGAUGGCUCAGAGGUUAAGAACACUGGCUGUUGUUCUUCCAAAGGUCCUGAGUUCAGUUCCCAGCAACCGCAUGGUGGCUCAUAACCCUCUAUAAUGAGAUCUGGUGCCCUCUUCUAGUGUGCAGGCAGAAUGCUGAAUGCUGCAUUAAACAAACAAACAAACAAACAAAAGGCAGACAAGGUUUCCCUUGCUCGAAGGCUUCAGAUUAAAGGAUAAACAGGGUUCAAAUGUAACUUUUCACUAAAAGAACAUGGUUUACAAUGACUAAUUAUCAAUAAUGAUUGCUUGUGUCUCUGGUAAAUGAUUAGAUUAAAAAAAUUCAAAAUCAAUGGAAGUUCUAAUGAACUUAAAACUUAAGUUCUAAGGGUCUCGAAAAUUAUUUAAAGCAUAUAAAGUCAAGAUGUAAAAAUCUAUUGUUAUGGGGGCUGGAGAGAUGGUUCAGAGGUUAAGAGCACUAACUGCUCUCCCAGAGGUCCUGAGUUCAAAACCCAGCAACCAACCACAUGGUGGCUCACAACCAUCUAUAAUGAGAUCUGGUGCCCUCUUCUGAUGUGAAGGCAUACAUGCAGAUAUUGUAUACAUAAUAAAUAAAUAAACAAAUUUAUUUUAAACAUCUAUUGUUAUAACAGAAAAGACACCAGAAGCAAUGGGAGAAAGGGAACAGGACAGGACCUUAUCAUAGAUGUCCUCUGAGAGACUCCACCUAACAGGGAUCACAGCCAAAUUUUGGACAGAAUAGGGAGUCUUAUGGAAGAAGCAGAGGAUAGAAGCACCCAUAGGGGACAGGAGCUCCACAAAUCGAACAACAAAGCCAAGAAAUCUGGGCCCAGAGGCCCCUGCAGAGACUAAUGCACCAACCAAGGACAAUGCAUGGAGAAGACCCAGACUCCCUGCUCAGAUGUAGCCCAUAGGUAGCGCAGUCUCCAUGUAGGUUCCCUAGUAAGGGAAGCAGGGCCUGUCUCUGACAUGGACUCAGUUGCCUGCUCACUCUUUGAUCGAAGCAGGGCCUGUCUCUGACAUGGACUCAGUUGCCUGCUCACUCUUUGAUCACUUCCCCCCAGCAGGGCAGCCUUGCCAGGCCACAGAGGAAAAGGAUCCAGGCAGUCCUGAUGAGACUUGAUAGGCUAGGGUCAUAUUUUUUUUUUUUUUUUUUUUACUUUUUUUAUCAGUUACAUUUUAUUAACUCUGUAUCCCAGCCGUGUCCCGAUCCCUCAUUCCCUCCCAGUCCCUCCCUCCCUCCCUCAUCUCCACCGUGCCCCUUUCCAAGUCCACUGAUAAGGGGGACCUCCUCCCCAUUCAUCUGAUCCUGUUUUAUCAGGUAUUUAUCAAAAAUACCACAAUUUCUUCAGGACUGGCUGCAAAGCCCUCCUCUGUGGCCUAACAGGACUGCUCUUCCCUUCGGGGGUGGGGAGACCAAAGAGCCAGUCAUUGAGUUCCUGUUAGAAAUAGUCCCUGUUCCCCUCACUUUGGGAAACCAAUUGGUUACUGAGCUACCACAGGCUACAUCUGAGUGGAGGUUCUAGGUUAUAUCCAUACAUGGUCCUUGGUUGAAUGUCAGUCUCAGGAAAGACCCUGUGCCCAGAUAUAUUUGGUCCUUGUGGAGCUCCUAUCCUUUCCCCAUCAGACUAACUCCCCUUCUUUCUUAUGAUUCCCUGUACUCUGCCAAAGGUUUGGUCAUGAGUCUUUGCUUUGAAAACACUGCUAGUUAGAGUCUUUCAGAUGCGCUCAGUAGACUCCUGUCAUACGUUCAAUGCACAUCCCAUCUGUCUUUCUAAAUGAGGAUUGAUCAUCUUACCCCAUGUCCGCUCAAUUGAUUAUCUUUUUUAGGUGUAUAGAUUUCAUUAUGUUUAUCAUAUCUUAUAGGUCUAUAUAAGUGAGUAUAUCCCAUGUUUGUCUUUCUCCUUCUGGGAUAUUUCACUCAGAAUGAUCUUUUCUAGAUCCCACCAUUUGCCUGCAAAUUUCAUGAUUUCCUCUUUUUUGAUUGCUGAGUAGUAUUCCACUGUAUAAAAAUACCACAAUUUCUGUACCCAUUCCACCGUUGAUGGACAUCUGGGUUGUUUCCAGGUUCUGGCUAUUACAAAUAGAGCUGCUAUAAACAUGGUUGAGCAAGUGUCCUUUUUGUGUACUUGAACAAACUUUGGGUAUAUACCUAGCAGUGGUAUAGCUGGGUCUGGAGGAAGCACUAUUCCUAUUUGUCUUAGAAAGCACCAGAUAGCUUUCCAGAGUGGUUGUACCAGUUUACAUUCGGCUAGGGUCAUAUGAUACAGGAGGAGGACUCCCUCUUUCAGUGGACUAGGGGAGGAGGAUAGGGUAGAAGAGGGUGGAACGGUAGGACCAGGAGGAAAUCAGGGAGAGGACUACAAUUGGGAUAUAAAGUGAAUAAAUCGUAAAAAAAAAAAUUAAAACAAACAACAAAACAAAACAAGAGGGCUGGAGAGAUGGCUCAGAGGCUAAGAGCACUGUCUGCUCUUCCAAAUGUCCUGAGUUCAAUUCCCAGCAACCACAUGGUGGCUCAUAACCAUCUAUAAUGAGAUCUGGUGCCCUCUUCUGCCCCACAGGCACACACACAGGCAGAAUACUGUAUAAACAAUAAAUAAAUCUUAAAAAUAAUUUAAAAAAUAAAUUAAUUUUAAAAAGUUUAUUGUUAUGAGAUUUCAAAGGUUCAAAGUUUUAACAUUGAUAAAUGAAAUUCUGAUAAACUCGUAAAACUGAUAAACUGAUAAAAGAGCACUGACUAAUUACUAUUUAGUCAGGAUUUUAAAUUUCCUUUGGUUAUCUUCCAAAUAUAGACUUAAGGAUAUCUAGAACUUUUAUCUCCUUUGAUAAACUAAAAUUCAGCUGGGCGGUGGUGGCACAUGGCUUUAAUCCUAGCCCUUGGGAGCCAGAGGCAAGCAGAUCUCUAUGAGUUGGAGGCCAUCUUGGUGUACAGAGUUCCCGGACAGCCGGAGCUAUAGAGAAGCCAUCUCAAAACACCAAAAAACAAAACAAAACAAAAAAAAACACUAAAAUUCAUGUGAGUUUCAGUAUGGAGUCAAAAGGGUCAUAAGGCUUGAAUCCACCUGCCACAAGUCAUAUGAACUCCAGAUAAGUACAACCUAAGUUUCUGCACCUGUCUAUUGCUGAGAAUGGAUUCCUCCCCUUCACUAAUUAUUAGGAAAUUUUAACAUCUGUCCUUAGUCUAUUUGUCUCAGCAGAUUCCCACUUGGCUGACAGACUCCAUCCAGGGAGCAUCUUCAGACUACAAACUGCUGAGCUCUUGACUUGCUGAAAGGUGACAUAAAUCAGUCCAUCCAAUGGACUGUCUCUUCAGCUAGAUCAGGUAACCAGAUGCUUCUAAAACUGCCCCAUCACCCAGCCUUUGACCAGCAUUUCGGCUUUCCUGGGUCCUGACAACUGAUGCCCCAAUUUCACCUGGUACUAGUUACAGAAGAGAGUUCAUUGUCCUUGCCCCCUUAAUAGGCUGAGAAUGCUCAAUCAAAAGUAAACUCCUUUGGGAGGGAAACUUUUGUUUUUAUACCAAUCAUUCUGGGAUAGACCGAGACACUUUAGCAAAAAUAAAAUAAAACCUGAUGGAUAGUGAGGAACUAAGGAGACAGGCUAAUAACUGCUUCCAAAAUCUCUUUGAUUGGUCCUGUCGGCAAACCACCUUGCUCAGCACCAUACCAGGACCACUGGCCCUUCUUUUCCUCCUGCUCCUCAGUUAUGGUCAUGGUCCUAAGGACCCAAUACAAUUCCUUAUACUCUGAAAUAGAUAAUCAAGGAUCUGAAUACUGUACAAGGGGGGUAUUUAAAAAGGAACCAAACUGAAGCCAUUUUGAGUAAAACUUCCAUUUUGAAUAGAGGUCAAAGUUUAUGUUCCCAAGAUCUCCCCUGGUAACCAACGUCCUGGUUGGAAAGAUAAGACAUGAAUGCUAGGCAAGUCCCCUUACCACAGUUAAUAAAGCAACCACUGAGAACAGGAUAAGUGUGCCACAUAGGAAAAAAGUUCCCUUUCCCCAAAACCUGACUGGUAGAAAAAUGUGUCACUUGGCACAGACGUUUGUGGUUUUCAGGUUUAAAAGCUCUGUAACACUGACUCAUGGUGGUAUCUGGAGGUUGGGAGUAGGCAUGGGGGUUUGCAGUUCAGUUCCCAAGUCUGCAUCCCUAUCUAUCAGUAGUGGCUUGAUUGUAAUAAAUUUCUGUUUUCUGUUUU